GUUAAGACAUCUUUCCUGCCCCAACUACAAGACAAUCCAAGUUUUUCCCCAGGCCUUAAUCUUCAAGAAUCCCAUUACAAAUAUUUUGAAGCUUGAAACUAUUUGGACUUCGGAAACUAUUGUCAAGUUUCAUUACUUAUUUGAGUCAUAAAGUACACUAGAAGAGUUUACAACCUCCAAACCUUCUCAUCUACAUCGUACAGACAAAAGCAAAGCCCAAUACAACCUACAUUUGUGAAACAAAAUCAUGGUUCUAUUGCCAGGUUGCAUUUGAAAUGCGAAAUAGAUAAAGUGAAAUCUUAGAGCCAACAGUCAACAGAAGCAUAUGAAAAUGACAGUAGCGUCAGCCAUUCAUAAUUGCAUACCUCUAGGAGCAAUUCAAGCAAUACUCACAUGGAAGUGCCUAGAAAUUUUUCUCCAUACACGAGGCAUCUACACUCCAUGAGAAUAGUCACUCAUUCACAUAGCAUCUUAUCACUCCAA
rnacentral:misc_RNA from 1 species